rnacentral:sRNA from 1 species
UAUAACGGUUUUGGUCGAUUAAGCCCCAC